GAUGAACGCUGGCGGCGUGCCUAAUACAUGCAAGUCGAGCGAACGGAUUAAGAGCUUGCUCUUAUGAAGUUAGCGGCGGACGGGUGAAUAACACGUGGGUAACCUGCCCAUAAGACUGGGAUAACUCCGGGAAACCGGGGCUAAUACCGGAUAACAUUUUGAACCGCAUGGUUCGAAAUUGAAAGGCGGCUUCGGCUGUCACUUAUGGAUGGACCCGCGUCGCAUUAGCUAGUUGGUGAGGUAACGGCUCACCAAGGCAACGAUGAGUAGCCGACCUGAGAGGGUGAUCGGCCACAAUGGGACUGAGACACGGCCCAGACUCCUACGGGAGGCAGCAGUAGGGAAUCUUCCGCAAUGGACGAAAGUCUGACGGAGCAACGCCGCGUGAGUGAUGAAGGCUUUCGGGUCGUAAAACUCUGUUGUUAGGGAAGAACAAGUGCUAGUUGAAUAAGCUGGCACCUUGACGGUACCUAACCAGAAAGCCACGGCUAACUACGUGCCAGCAGCCGCAGUAA
rnacentral:rRNA from 1 species